AGAGUUUGAUCCUGGCUCAGGAUGAACGCUGGCGGCGUGCCCAACACAUGCAAGUCGAACGAAGUUACUUGCUUAGAUCUCUUCGGAGUGACGAGCUUUUAACUUAGUGGCGGACGGGUGAGUAACACGUGAGCAACCUGCCUUUCAGAGGGGGAUAACGGCUGGAAACGGUCGCUAAUACCGCAUGAUAUAUUGAAUCGGCAUCGGUUUGAUAUCAAAGGAGCAAUCCGCUGAAAGAUGGGCUCGCGUCUGAUUAGAUAGUUGGUGGGGUAACGGCCUACCAAGUCGACGAUCAGUAGCCGGACUGAGAGGUUGAACGGCCACAUUGGGACUGAGAUACGGCCCAGACUCCUACGGGAGGCAGCAGUGGGGAAUAUUGCACAAUGGGGGAAACCCUGAUGCAGCAACGCCGCGUGAAGGAAGACGGUUUUCGGAUUGUAAACUUCUUUUCUUAGUGAAGAAGCAAGUGACGGUAGCUAAGGAAUAAGCAUCGGCUAACUACGUGCCAGCAGCCGCGGUAAUACGUAGGAUGCGAGCGUUAUCCGGAAUUACUGGGUGUAAAGGGAGCGCAGGCGGGACUGCAAGUUGGAUGUGAAAUGCCGCAGCUUAACUGCGGAGCUGCAUCCAAAACUGUAGUUCUUGAGUGGAGUAGAGGCAAGCGGAAUUCCGAGUGUAGCGGUGAAAUGCGUAGAUAUUCGGAGGAACACCAGUGGCGAAGGCGGCUUGCUGGGCUCUAACUGACGCUGAGGCUCGAAAGUGUGGGGAGCAAACAGGAUUAGAUACCCUGGUAGUCCACACUGUAAACGAUGAUAGCUAGGUGUGGGGGGUCUGACCCCUUCCGUGCCCGAGUUAACGCAAUAAGCUAUCCACCUGGGGAGUACGGCCGCAAGGUUGAAACUCAAAGGAAUUGACGGGGGCCCGCACAAGCAGUGGAUUAUGUGGUUUAAUUCGAAGCAACGCGAAGAACCUUACCAGGUCUUGACAUCCAACUAACGAGAUAGAGAUAUGUUAGGUGCCCUUCGGGGAAAGUUGAGACAGGUGGUGCAUGGUUGUCGUCAGCUCGUGUCGUGAGAUGUUGGGUUAAGUCCCGCAACGAGCGCAACCCU
rnacentral:rRNA from 1 species